rnacentral:rRNA from 1 species
GUGAGGAAUAUUGCGCAAUGGGGGAAACCCUGACGCAGCGACGCCGCGUGAGUGAUGAAGGCCUUCGGGUUGUAAAGCUCUGUCAGAGGGAAAGAAAGGGGAUGCGGAAUAAUACCCGCAGCCAUUGACGGUACCCUCGGAGGAAGCACCGGCUAACUCCGUGCCAGCAGCCGCGGUAAUACGGAGGGUGCAAGUGUUAUUCGGAAUCACUGGGCGUAAAGAGCACGUAGGCGGAUGGGUAAGUCAGAUGUGAAAUCCCGGGGCUCAACUUCGGAACUGCAUUUGAUACUGCCCGUCUUGAGUGUGGUAGAGGGGGAUGGAAUUCCCGGUGUAGAGGUGAAAUUCGUAGAUAUCGGGAGGAACACCAGAGGCGAAGGCGAUCCCCUGGGCCAUUACUGACGCUGAGGUGCGAAAGCGUGGGGAGCAAACAGGAUUAGAAACCCCAGUAGUCC